rnacentral:lncRNA from 1 species
GUUCCUUUAGAGGCAGGGUGGAUAAGUAAGUUUCCGCUUGUGAACCAGUUUCCAAAAACUGGUGGCUCCAUUGUGCUCAGAAAGGUUUCCCAGCUCGUUGGGGUCGACGGGAAGGAACACCAUGACCAAUGGGGAGUGUCUGCCUGGUCGCAGGAAAGCACAGAGGGGGUCCCAUGGCAGCUUUUUGCUAUCCGUGUUUUUAAGGUGGAAAUCACUCCGCUGUGCAGUCCAACUAAGAAAGGAAGAAAGUGGCUUUUAACUCAGAUGGCCAGAGCUUGGGGAUGCACUUAGGCAGGUGGCCGUCUGAACUGGAGAAUCAAGAUGGUGUGGCUUCAAAGCAAAGUGCCGCAAGCCCGGGCCGUGGCAGUGUGCAACUGGCAGGGCUCCCAGCUGUCCUGCUUGAACUUUGAGAACAUCCGCGUCGUUCUUUUAAUCUUUGCAAAUAAGCAUGGCGGGCUUUUAUUCAGGUUUUGGGUUUUUUCUCACUUUUAAAGAAUUAGAGUUUUAACUUCCUGUUGGUUGUACAUUUUGGGUUUGGUCGUCCCCCAGGUCGGAACCCAGUUUGCUUAAGACAUAAAACAAAAGGACAGAAGGGAAGGAGAGAGAAAAGCUGAAGAGCCCUUGCUACUCCCAGUGGUCUUUCUGCUGUGCGAGAUACGCAGAGAUUGUCUUUGCAGCCUGCUGGUACGUGGGGCCCAAACGGUGUUUUUAACAUUCUGGCAUUCUGGAAAGACCUCCCGGAAGGACUUCUAGUUCUUGAUCUGAGCAGGAAACCUCAUGUGUGUAUUUAUACUCUUAGUGCCCCCCGGCCCCUGGCUGAUAAGGUGACCUCACGGUGAUGCAGUAGGAGCCCCAGAAGCCGACCCUAAGGGGUGUCAGUGUCGGUGGGAACCCAAACACCAAAGCGGAGUGGAGCCCCUCCUCUAAGGUCCAGGGUCCCACUCCAUGAGUUCAGGGCCCGAGAAGAGGAUGAUGGCUCCCUGCCCUGCUGGGCUUCCACCAGGCCGCCAGGAGUCAAGCCCAGUCACGGCUGGAGCCUCUUCCCUGAAUCUUUAGCAAUUCAGCUUUGGGGGGAUGAUGGGCGGUGCCUGCUGUGCCCAUCACACCUGGAAACUGGAUUUGAAUUUGCCUCUGAGCCAAUGAGCUGCCCCGGACACCGGCUGCCAGAUGCUAAGUUCACCUGGAUUCUUCCAUUUCAACCUCAGAAGCAUCCUGGGUUAGAAAUGAUACUCUUGCCAUUUUCCAGAUGAAGCUCCCACAGCUCGGGGCGACCCUCCGACCCGAGCUGCAUCCCCUGCCCCCCCGGCCGGUCGUGGAUGGCUUGGUCGGGUUCCCGUGAAUGCAGAACUUGAGGCCUUGAGGGCAGGUGGUUUGUCUGGGGAGGUGGUCCCCAGGAAGCCAGAGCCAGACACGGAUGGCGGAAAAGCUGAGGAGAAGCUGCUUUGUCCAUGGCUGAGUAGUAAGUCAC